CCAUUAAUUUGUGCUCUGGGAAUAAAGCUCUUUACUAUGAAAACAGGCAGUCUGAAAAACAAAAACAUGUCCAUAAAUCAUGAAAGCAGAACAUUUGUAGCUGUAUGACAGAACUGCUCACCACACAGUUUCUUUUUGUCCUGGACUAGACCCUAGUCUAGAUCACCAUGUGAAAUCUCUGAAGAAUAUUUUCUGUCCCAGGUCCCCCUGACCUACUUCAGGAGUCUGACAUCUCCUGUUCUCUUCAACCCCAACUUUCCACAAACCUGGGGAGGAUUUGAUCAUCAGUCAUAUUGCUGCUGAUUACAGAUUUUUGGAAUGCCUCUCUUGUGUGUUUCUUUACUCAAGAUUAUGCAUUUUCAAUGCUUUUAUUCCAACUGUGGAAUAGGAUUGGAUUUACUUUUCUUCAAAACAAAUGUGGUGUCAACCUAAAGGAGGAGGAAAACAGGGGAUUUCUGCAAGACACCUUCCAGAAGCUUCAGUUGUUACCCUCAUGGAGGUGGACAGGAAAGCAAAAAAGGGACAGCCAGGAGUUAUGAUCAAGUGCUUCCCAUGUAAAAAGGCUGCAACCUACAACCUGCACAACUGUCUGUGGCAGUCCUGCUUUGGACACAAAGAUAUGAACAAGGUAAAGUUCCUGCCCUCAAGAGAUUCAGAGUCCAGGGCCUAGAGAGGACUUAAAUGGCAGCUGGAAGAAGUGAAAGAUUCUUUUCAGCAGAGGGGUUGUGGCAUUUGAGUGGGACGUUAAGGUGGAUGAAGUACUGGGACACAGAAUAUGAGUACAAGGGAUGGUCUUUAAAAAAGAACACAGUGUGACAAAUCAUAAGGGGGCUAGAUUAGAUGACUGUGUAGGGACACAAAGGGUACGUGAAAGAAAGUAGUAAGAAAUAAGGUGGAGACAGGUUGAAAUCUUACCUUCAGCCCAGUGAAACCAAUUUUCAACUUCUUACAGAACUGUACAAUAAUAAAUUUGUGGUUCUAAACCA
rnacentral:lncRNA from 12 species